rnacentral:lncRNA from 1 species
AGGGAAGCCCAUUUGAAAUCAAGGGAGGGUUAAUGUUUUUUUCCAAGAAAUUAGACGAAAAAAUAUUCUGGUCAAGCAGAUAACAACAAAUAUUCUAAAUCCAGAUUUUUACAUCCUUCAAGUGUUAAAUUUUGAAAAAUAUAAUUUGAUUGAUAGCAUUGAAAAUUAAAAAAAAUCAGAAUCCGACGAAAAAAACCCACACCC